GUAGUGAUAGAUAUUCAGCUGGUUUGAAAUUCAGGCUGGAUGCACGUUCAUUGGAAUGGGGACCUAUCACAAUUGUGAUCUGCAUGGUCAUCUUACUGAACAUUGGUCUGGCCAUCCUAUUUGUACAUUUUUUGACAUGAGGUCCCCCUCGGACAAGGCGUUGCUGCUCACUGAGACCAUGGACCUUGGUGGGGAUUUAAUCUCAGUCACCUGGAAACACCUAUGAGAAGGACUUGAGAUCCCAAGGUUGCACUGCAAACAUGAACCUUAAGCAAAAGUACCUGAAGAUCCCCUGUCCAGUCUCCCUGCUCCCAGGCUGUGGCUGGCCUCUGCAAUCUACCAAGAAAAAGGCCGAAUUUCUACAACUCAACCUCCUUCUCUUCUUUGUAUAAAAUGGCAGUUGCCUUAAAUUAUUCUCACCAAAGCCAUCAACUGCCCUGUCAUGCCAGGGAUGAGGAAUUUAUCUUUAGCUGUAGGAAAGUGAGUGAGAAGGUCUCAUCCACGCACUGUGUUUUGUAAUUGUCUUGGUUGACUUGAUGUUGGAGGUUUCCCAAAGAGUAUCAUCCACGGCCUGAAAACGCAACAAUGUGCAACAACCAAAAUGACUCCUGAGAGCUGUGCCACGGCUAGGGCUGGGCAGCGUCUCCCUCCAUGCUCGUAUGUUAUUCAAAGGGACAAGCAAAAAGUCUUUCCUUUCCCCAUCAUAUGGAGUCGUUUUCCACGUACGGAGGACUGAGAGGGGGAGCAUGCUGACACUGGGCUUGGUGAAGUGUGACCGGAGCCCUGUCCAUGCCUGCCAACGAGCCAUGGUCGGGGCUGCGGGGUGGGGUGUGAGGGGCUGGCUGGUGUGAGGCUGCUGGUGUGCCCAGGGGUGCUGCGGGUGCAGACAGUGCCCAUUUCAGGGCUGGGCACCAUCCAAGCUCUCUCGUGCCGCCAGCAAUGCUGUGUGUGAAAGCAUCUUGCAGCGGGUGACUUCCCUCUGUAACGGGAAAGGAAAUCAAUGUGCUGAAUUUGCCCCUUUACCCCUUUUUUUUCUUUUUUCCCUAUGAAAAUGGUGCGAGUUACAAUUGAAAGGAGGUACUUACUGAACAAUACCCCUGUAUACCCACAGGUUCCUCCUCCUCCUCCUCCUCGUAGUGCUGAGCUGUGAGGGGGCUCCAGUGCUGCUUUUUCACCGAAACAAAGCGGACAGCCUUUCCCAGCAGAGCGUGCAGGGUGGCUGUUGUGGGAGAG
rnacentral:lncRNA from 1 species